UGAGGAAUAUUGGUCAAUGGGCGGAAGCCUGAACCAGCCAUGCCGCGUGAAGGACUAAGGCCCUACGGGUCGUAAACUUCUUUAGACGCAGAGCAAUAAGGUCCACGCGUGGACCGAUGAGAGUAUGCGUAGAAUAAGCAUCGGCUAACUCCGUGCCAGCAGCCGCGGUAAUACGGGGGAUGCGAGCGUUAUCCGGAUUCAUUGGGUUUAAAGGGUGCGUAGGCGGCCGAGUAAGUCAGCGGUGAAAGACCGGGGCUCAACCCUGGAAGUGCCGUUGAAACUUUCGUGCUGGAGUUCGUGCGAGGGAGGCGGAAUGCGUUGUGUAGCGGUGAAAUGCAUAGAUAUGACGCAGAACCCCGAUUGCGAAGGCAGCUUUCCAGCACGCGACUGACGCUGA
rnacentral:rRNA from 1 species